rnacentral:siRNA from 1 species
CGAGGCCCCCGCCGACGUCUC